rnacentral:lncRNA from 1 species
UAAGUUGUUCCAUAAGUAGGACAUUUGCAGGCAGAUAGAAACAAGGGGCAAACAGUGGCUCAGUACAGGGACUGAGUUAAGUCAGGGGUGUUUUCUGAAGAUGGGGAGGGACCCAGGCACAGGUGGCCACCCGGGCAAGUUUCAGUGAGGAAGGAGGCUGACAGUGGACGUCUCUGAGCCCCCUCACCAGGGGCUGUGCCCAAGGGCUCAGUCUGGUCUCUGCGCCCCCACCUCUGGGAGCCUCGUUGCCCCUCCUCCUCUCCCCGGGCGUAUGAUGCUGUGAUGCGUGUUCUCAGGAAGUAGCCAGCGCUCUGGGCCCAGACCCAUCCUUCCAAGGGAGCGCCAGGGUCCAUCUGGUCCAGUGUGGCCCCCACGGCAUCUUCGGCCUUGUCAUCUCCAGCAUGGCCAUGCUUGGCUCCCUCCUUGGACCACCUGUGUCCAGCUCCCGGCUGCAAAGGCGUCGCUGGACUGCAGGCCCGGCAUACCCUGUCCCCCAGGCCCCCAGCAUCCCUCCCCACAUUCCAAACCCAGUGAUCUGCUUGAUAGAAGAGGACGUGAUUCUUUUCCAGCUUCAGAUUCACCCUGACAGUGAGUCUGCCCCUCGGCCCCGCCCUCCCGCUCUGGCUCCCUCAUCCCUCCCUAUCCGUCUGCCUGGUGACAUCACGUACAGACCGUGCCUUCGAAGUCGUGGGGCACAGGCUGGUGCUGUCCCCUGCUCUCGGCCUGUUCGGUCACUUCCCUGGGGGCCUUCAUUCCAUAUCUUGAGCAGAUGUUUCAGCUCCAGCAUUCUGAGACUCCUCCUGCAGCCCGUGGAGGUGUCAGACUUCUGUGCCUUGGGGGGAAUGGAUUUUGAGGAGAAAAAACAUGGGGCAGAGAGGUAUGGAAUAGAAAAUAAAUAUAAAUGUAACCUGUGUGGCUGUCUUAUAACCAUGGCAGAUUAGUACAGAGAAUGCCCUGUACGGAACAACACACUGAAGGCUCCAGAUCGAGGUCCUCCCUUUGGGGAGGCUGAGGCUUCAGUCUCUGGCAUUUGGAAUGUAGGCAGCAUCCUUGCUUUUGGCCAGAUCGCCGGGUGUGUGGCACAGCCUGUGCUUUUCAGAUUUACACAGAAUGGCCACUUGGCCCAGGUAGAAGUCAAUGAAGUGUUUCGUUCCACGUGUCACGUAACCACUGAUGUACCUCCCCGAGACGCGUGCCAAGGCAAUGAGUGUCAAAGAGGGGAACACUCCCUGGAAAGUGAGCUCCACACUGGACAUGUGUGCCCUGGUUUCUAGGCCCAGCUCUUCCACAAACCGCUGGGAACUGGGGUAACCUCCACCCUCUCUUCACCUUGAUAUUUACCUCUGCCAGUGAACCCAUUUGCGUUCCCCCUUCUCCCCACUGUGAGGGAGGUAAGAUCAGAGCCCCAUCAUGAGGGGCUGGGGGGCUCAGGAAGAAGAACUAACACCUGCACACAGGUAAGGCCUCCUUGUGCAGUGGGAACAACCAGGUGGCGCCUGCCUGUAUGGCAGCCCCAUCCACCUCCUUAGCUGCUCAUUCUCUCAGCCAUCCCAUAGCAUUUAUUGAAUACCUGCUGCAUGUCCAUACUGUGCUGCCUUCCAGGGGUGCACAGUUGAACACGUCCCUGUUCUGAGAGUCCCAGGGCAUCAGGCUGGCCUCACCCACAGAGGGGCGUCAGGCCUGGUGCCCCCUGCUCAGAGUGUGCCCUCUCUGUGGGCAGAGGGAAGAAGAGUCUUGCCUGGCAGCAUGAUUACUAAGGGCACGUUACAUACAUGAGAGGGGAACUGUGUCUCAGCCACUCACUCUUGUGAGCACAGGAUGCUGAGCUCCCCAGAUGUGGGCUGCCCCAGGCUGGGGCUGGGGAGGCCUCUGGGACCCAGCCCAGCCCCGGCUCGCUCCCCAGAUCGCCCAGCCAGUCACUACCCCGUGUACCAGAAGCAGCACCUGUUCAACAGCAACCCCCACUGGGACUUCGGGGCCUUCAGGAGGCUCAGCCACCUAGUGCGAGAGACUCAAGUCAACUUCUCCAGGUUUGUCCACCAGUUCUUAGAUCCGGGCACAUACGUGUUUCGAGACAACGCACUUCCCGAGAGCGUUGUGGUGGUGUCGGUGAAGGAGAAGGGGAUAGCCUGCGGCCCUGGCCUGUCCUCUGUGCAGCCCUCCUCCCCGUACCAGCUCUCCAGGCAUGGCAUCGUCAGGCACAGGCUGCCAACCCUGGGCCCAGACUGGGCCGUGAUCACAGGGGUGCUGCUGGCUGUCGGCUUGGCAACUGCGCUGCUGACAGGCCUGGGCCUUGUGCUGAGCCCCCCGCUGGCCCAGACCUGCCCAGUCAGAGCUUGGAGACUCCGGGGGAGGGGCCUCAGGGAGCCUCACGUGCCUGCUGACUGCGUGCCUCUCGGGGACAGCCUUACCGUCCGUGAAGACCUCGGUCCUCAGGGCUCUGGGGAAGGAGCCAGCUGCAGGCAGAGAGCCGUUCCCCGGGACACAGGGGAGCCACACCCUGUGAACACCCUAGAGGACUUCAGCGUCCGCACACUCUAUGACAAGCUUGAGGACCAGAGCCUGCACUUGGUGGCCCAGCUGAGCAAGCACAGGAGCGACGCACUGGCCUUCUACAGGGGCGCCAGCCAGCAACUCCAGGGGCUCAAGGACUUUCUGCAGGGCGUCAGCAUGACCGAGCGGCAAGAUCUGGGCAGAGGUGGAGACCUGGAGAUGGGAGCCAAAGCCACUGCCAGGACAGACACUGGGCAGAGAGAGGAAUGGUGCAGUGGUCACACUGCAGCUUCUCCAAGGGUGCGCUGGCAGCAUCCUCUAGGCCUCCGCUCAGGGGGGUGAACAGCCUCUUCCCUCCUGUCAACAAGACCCUCAACUGGUGAGUGACACGCUCCUGAAGCCCCGGCCUCAGCCCUCGGAUGAGGAGCAUCAAAGUGCAAGCCCCCAGAAGACCCCAGGACCUGGACGGCUCCGUCAGGGUGAUGCCAAAGGAGGGGACACUGAGAGCCCAGUUUCCGGACACAGGCACGGAGCCUUUCCUGAGCUGCAGAGAAAGAUAUGGCAGGUGGAAGACAUCUUGGACGAACUGAAUAAAGAGUUCUUCCAGCUCACUGCUCAAGCCCUAGAGCUCCAGAAAGAAGAGCACCAGCCAGACCACCUGCCCCCAAGGAAACACAGUACAUUUGCGGUGGUUCCCAGCAUCUUCCCUCAUGCAGAGCAGGAAGACAGACCUAACCCAGCAGAGGCAGGCGGCCCAGACAGAAAGAGUGUGGGAACCUGGGCCCUGAAGAGCGAGCAGGCCCUGAUCCUGGCGGUGAGGAGAGCCUGCCUGGCUCAGAGGAUCGAAGGCCUGGACUGGGAGCUGUCCCUGCUCCUCCAGGUGGCAGAGGGCAGCACGUGUGCAGGAUGGAGCCAGCCCAGCCUGGGGAGACGCUGAGUCACCCAGGGUGCUGCGGCGGUCAUCUGUGGCAGUGCCUUCUCCACAAAGAACAUGGCCAGGUUACUCUGCGCACUCCAGGCAGGAAGACGUGGGCGUCGCAGGGGCCGCCCUGGCUGGGAAUGUGAGCUCGGUUAUGGCAUGCUCCUAUCUGGUAACACCCAGGUUUCUUUCAGAGCCUGGACCUCGGCUUGUGCUGAUUGCUAUCUGUGAUCCUUUGGGGUGAGGGAAAAUAAAGUCACACAGGUUGAGAAUAUCAA